UACGUAGGGGGCAAGCGUUGUCCGGAAUUAUUGGGCGUAAAGCGCGUGUAGGCGGCUCGGUAAGUCUGCUGUGAAAGUCCAAGGCUCAACCUUGGAAAGCCGGUGGAUACUGUCGAGCUCGAGUCCGGAAGAGGCGAGUGGAAUUCCUGGUGUAGCGGUGAAAUGCGCAGAUAUCAGGAGGAACACCAAUGGCGAAGGCAGCUCGCUGGGACGGUACUGACGCUGAGGAGCGAAAGCGUGGGGAGCGAACAGG
rnacentral:rRNA from 1 species